rnacentral:rRNA from 1 species
GGCAUCCUACGGGGGGCAGCAGUCGGGAAUAUUGCGCAAUGGAGGAAACUCUGACGCAGUGACGCCGCGUGCAGGAAGAAGGAUUUCGGAUUGUAAACUGCUUUAGACAGGGAAGAUAAUGACAGUACCUGUAGAAUAAGCUCCGGCUAACUACGUGCCAGCAGCCGCGGUAAUACGUAGGGAGCAAGCGUUAUCCGGAUUUAUUGGGUGUAAAGGGUGCGUAGACGGGAAUGCAAGUUAGUUGUGAAAUUCCUCGGCUUAACUGAGGAACUGCAACUAAAACUACAUUUCUUGAGUGAUGGAGG